CAGAGGAUCCAAAAUAAUGAAAAAAAAAAAAAACAUCCAAUGCAACUUGGAAAUUGUAGUCAAAAUACAUCUACAGCAGCAUGCUAAAGCAGUACCAACGCCAGGGCAAAAGACUCAAAUUCCCAGAAUGCACCUGCACCCACCCAUUCAUUCCCACCAAUCAGGAUCAACGGCAUUUUUCAAACCGCUACUGACUCGUUUUCAUGCUAAACAGUACGGCUGAGAGGUCAUGUACCAUGUGGUCGACCUUGCUGACGCUGAAGAGGUUUCUGUGUAAAAAUGAUGACAUUGAGACAAACAGACCAGUUCUGGCUGCCGUGGAGGUCAACACACCACUGAUCUACUGGCUGCCCUUCAACGUGAUGCCCAGCCGAUGCCUGACCACCGACGGAACUAGGGCUGCACGAUAAGUCGCAUGUGUUUGUCAGGCGCAUCUCCUCAGUAAUGCCGGUUCCUUGAUUAGUAUUAAAUCGCCAUCAGCUGUUUUCAGAUGUAGCAGCUUUAACUACACAGAGCCGUAGUUCACUGACAAUCGGGGCAAUUUCGCAUUAAUUAUCGCGGACGUAUCGGCUGCGAUAUGUAUGCGAUAUGGCCCAGCUUGUCAGGGAACUACGG